rnacentral:lncRNA from 1 species
CUUAAAGGGACUUUGGUAAUAAUUGUAUGGUUGCUUACUUUUCCGACUUCAGAAAAAGAUUCAUUCACUCAUUCAUUUUGGAACAACGUCACUACGUUACCGCUAUUUGUUGUUGGCUUCGAUUGGAAAUAAUUUCGAAGGAGGGACAAACAAAAGACCCAAGAAGCUGAGGUUCUGGACUGGAGAUCCACUUUUAGCACCCCUUUGAUCUCAGCAAGACCCCGGUGAGAAAACUCCUGGAAAGUCCAUUUCUGUUGCUUCAAGCUCUGUAAGAAACUUCUGGCACUUAGACAUGAGGACAUUAAUGGCCUCAGUAACCAGGACAUCGGGAGGGAGGAUCCCUGUGGACUCAACUGAAACUGAAGAGAAAACAGAGGCAACAUGCGAUUAUACCAUUGGUUUCUGCCACCAAGUGAACAUGACCUUGCAUAAACCUCUCUUGCAAAAUCCUCUUUAUGAAGAGACCGUUCUUAGUGGCAUUAACCUCGGCCACCUCUCUGCGAUUAGUUCAGCACCAUGGACAGAACUCCCGGCUUGUUGACAGGGCAGUUCAAGCAGACUCAUCC